AGGGUGUAAACGCUGCAGACUUGGUGUUGGGAACCCUUCGGGGUGGCUCAGUGCCGGAGAGAAGUUGUUAAGUCUGCUACUUGGGGAGUACGUCCGCAAGGAUGAAACUUAAAGGAAUUGGCGGGGGAGGCACCGCAACGGGAGGAGCGUGCGGUUUAAUUGGACUCAACGCCGGGAAGCUCACCGGAUAAGACAGCGGAAUGAUUGCCGGGCUGAAGACUCUGCAUGACUAGCUGAGAGGAGGUGCAUGGCGUAGACGUCU
rnacentral:rRNA from 1 species